GGGGAUGAAAGGAUUUCGACGGGGAAUCCAAGCCCGGAUAAGCGAGUAGCGGGGCGGGACCGCUAUAAAAUCCGCAACCUUAAAAUUAACUGACAACAAUCUUGUUGCUCGCGCUGCUUAAGUAGCAGCCGUCUCUGCGCGGAGGACUGCGGCCGCGCAAGAGGCGUCGAUCAGCAGUGAACGUGCACCGGCCGCGGCAGAGAACCGGUCAUGAACAAUCUGUCUACCGCAAGCGUCAGCCUGUUCGUCGGCGGGCGUGCGGGGGAAUCUUAAACGACGGACUACACUCGUAGAAAGUCCCUGUGCGGGUUUUUCGGACGCGGUUUCGAUUACCGCCAUCUCCACCA
rnacentral:tmRNA from 1 species